rnacentral:misc_RNA from 1 species
GAUGAAGAACGUAGCGAAAUGCGAUACGUAAUGUGAAUUGCAGAAUUCAGUGAAUCAUCGAAUCUUUGAACGCAUAUUGCGCUCUCUGGUAUUCCGGAGAGCAUGCUUGUUUGAGUAUCAGUAAACACCUCAACUCCCCUUUCUUUUUUUGAAAUGGGAGCUGGACUUGAGUGAUCCCAACGCUUUUCUCACCGAAAAGUGGCGGGUUACUUGAAAUGCAGGUGCAGCUGGACUUUUCUCUGAGCUAAAAGCAUAUCUAUUUAGUCUGCCUAAAAAACAGAUUAUUACCUUUGCUGCAGCUAACAUAAAGGAGAUUAGUUCUUGUGCUGACUGAUGCAGGAUUCACAGAGACAGCUUCGGCUGGCCUUUGUAAACUUGAUCUCAAAUCAAGUAAGACUACCCGCUGAACUUAAGCAUAUCAAUAAGCGGAGGA